UACGGAGGGGGCUAGCGUUGUUCGGAAUUACUGGGCGUAAAGCGCACGUAGGCGGCUUUGCAAGUUAGAGGUGAAAGCCCGGGGCUCAACUCCGGAAUUGCCUUUAAAACUGCAUCGCUAGAAUUGUGGAGAGGUAAGUGGAAUUCCGAGUGUAGAGGUGAAAUUCGUAGAUAUUCGGAGGAACAUCAGAAGCGAAGGCGACUAUCUGGACCAUUACUGACGCUGAGGUGCGAAAGCGUGGGGAUCAAACAGG
rnacentral:rRNA from 1 species